UUAGUUAAAGCCAAAUUAGAGGCCUACCACUGUUAAUGGUACAAUUGAGCUACAGUUCUAACUAAG
rnacentral:tRNA from 1 species